AUACGUAGGGUGCGAGCGUUGUCCGGAAUUACUGGGCGUAAAGAGCUCGUAGGUGGUUUGUCGCGUCGUCUGUGAAAUUCCGGGGCUUAACUCCGGGCGUGCAGGCGAUACGGGCAUAACUUGAGUACUGUAGGGGAGACUGGAAUUCCUGGUGUAGCGGUGAAAUGCGCAGAUAUCAGGAGGACCACCGGUGGCGAAGGGGGGUCACCGUGGAGCACUGGGUGCGGGUGGGCUAGAGAGUGGGUGGGGAACGUGGUAUUAUACGCUGGGCAUCUGUUGAGCAGACGGUGUGAGCGGGGUGCUGGGUUCUCCCGCGACGGCUGUGCCGGAGCUAACGCAUGAAGCGCCCCGCCUGGGGGGUACUGUCGCAAGGGUGAAACUCAAAUGAAUUGACGG
rnacentral:rRNA from 1 species